rnacentral:rRNA from 1 species
AGAGGACCGGGAUGGACAUACCGCUGGUGUACCAGUUGUUCCGCCAGGAGCAUAGCUGGGUAGCUACGUAUGGAAGGGAUAAGUGCUGAAAGCAUCUAAGCAUGAAGCCCCCCUCAAGAUGAGAUUUCCCUUGGAGUUAAUCCAGUAAGACCCCUUAGAGAUGAUGAGGUUGAUAGGUCUCGGGUGGAAGCACGGUGACGUGUGGAGCUGAGAGAUACUAAUCGGUCGAGGACUUAUCCUAAA